UACGUAGGAUGCAAGCGUUGUUCGGAAUUACUGGGCGUAAAGAGUACGUAGGCGGUCUGGCAAGUCUGAUAUUAAAGACUGGAGCUUAACUUCAGGACUGUAUCGGAAACUGCCAAACUAGAGGACAAUAGAGGAAGUCGGAAUUCUCAGUGUAGCGGUGAAAUGCGUAGAUAUUGGGAAGAACACCAGUGGCGAAAGCGGACUUCUGGGUUGUUACUGACGCUGAGGUACGAAAGCGUGGGGAGCAAACGGG
rnacentral:rRNA from 1 species